rnacentral:lncRNA from 1 species
UUUUAAUUUUUCAUACUAAUUUUUUAAAUUAAAAAUUUUAAUUUAUUUAUUUUAAAUAAAAAAAUUAAUAAACAAUUAAUUAAAUUUAAAAAAGAAGGGAGAAACUAUAAUCGUCGAAAAAAUAAAUAAAUAAAAAAGGAGAAGUCCGGGUUAACUCAGUGCAAUGUACGUUCUCUCUCUCUCUCUCUUUCAACGUCCUUACUACAAGCCUUUUUCUUUUUCGGCUUAUUGUAAAGGCAGAGAAACCAGAAGUCAACUGUAACAAUCGAUAGCCAGAUAGACAGUUCAACGAGAACGAGUGAGAGAGGGAAAGAAGAUGAAGCUGAAAGUAUAUGCAGAUCGAAUGUCCCA